rnacentral:rRNA from 1 species
UGUGCCUCUUAGUUUGGGAUAGCCAUUGGAAACGAUGAUUAAUACCAGAUACUCCCUACGGGGGAAAGAUUUAUCGCUAAGAGAUCAGCCUAUGUCCUAUCAGCUUGUUGGUAAGGUAAUGGCUUACCAAGGCUAUGACGGGUAUCCGGCCUGAGAGGGUGAACGGACACACUGGAACUGAGACACGGUCCAGACUCCUACGGGAGGCAGCAGUAGGGAAUAUUGCUCAAUGGGGGAAACCCUGAAGCAGCAACGCCGCGUGGAGGAUGAAGGUUUUAGGAUUGUAAACUCCUUUUGUUAGAGAAGAUAAUGACGGUAUCUAACGAAUAAGCACCGGCUAACUCCGUGCCAGCAGCCGCGGUAAUACGGAGGGUGCAAGCGUUACUCGGAAUCACUGGGCGUAAAGAGCGCGUAGGCGGGAUAGUCAGUCAGGUGUGAAAUCCUAUGGCUUAACCAUAGAACUGCAUUUGAAACUACUAUUCUAGAGUGUGGGAGAGGUAGGUGGAAUUCUUGGUGUAGGGGUAAAAUCCGUAGAGAUCAAGAGGAAUACUCAUUGCGAAGGCGACCUGCUGGAACAUUACUGACGCUGAUUGCACGAAAGCGUGGGGAGCAAACAGGAUUAGAUACCCUGGUAGUCCACGCCCUAAACGAUGGAUGCUAGUUGUUGGAGGGCUUAGUCUCUCCAGUAAUGCAGCUAACGCAUUAAGCAUCCCGCCUGGGGAGUACGGUCGCAAGAUUAAAACUCAAAGGAAUAGACGGGGACCCGCACAAGCGGUGGAGCAUGUGGUUUAAUUCGAAGAUACACGAAGAACCUUACCUAGGCUUGACAUUGAGAGAAUCCGCUAGAAAUAGUGGAGUGUCUGGCUUGCCAGACCUUGAAAACAGGUGCUGCACGGCUGUCGUCAGCUCGUGUCGUGAGAUGUUGGGUUAAGUCCCGCAACGAGCGCAACCCCCUUUCUUAGUUGCUAACAGGUCAUGCUGAGAACUCUAAGGAUACUGCCUCCGUAAGGAGGAGGAAGGUGGGGACGACGUCAAGUCAUCAUGGCCCUUACGCCUAGGGCUACACACGUGCUACAAUGGGGUGCACAAAGAGAAGCAAUACUGCGAAGUGGAGCCAAUCUUCAAAACACCUCUCAGUUCGGAUUGUAGGCUGCAACUCGCCUGCAUGAAGCUGGAAUCGCUAGUAAUCGCAAAUCAGCCAUGUUGCGGUGAAUACGUUCCCGGGUCUUGUACUCACCGCCCGUCACACCAUGGGAGUUGUGUUUGCCUUAAGUCAGGAUGCUAAAUUGGCUACUGCCCACGGCACACACAGCGACUGGGGUGAAGUCGUAACAAGGUAACCGUAGGUGAACCUGCGGUUG